CGGCGGACGGGUGAGUAAGCGUGGGUAACCUGCCUCAUACAGGGGGAUAACAGUUGGAAACGGCUGCUAAUACCGCAUAAGCGCACAGUACCGCAUGGUACCGUGUGAAAAACUCCGGUGGUAUGAGAUGGACCCGCGUCUGAUUAGCUAGUUGGUGGGGUAACGGCCUACCAAGGCGACGAUCAGUAGCCGACCUGAGAGGGUGACCGGCCACAUUGGGACUGAGACACGGCCCAA
rnacentral:rRNA from 1 species